UGGGGAAUAUUGCACAAUGGGCGCAAGCCUGAUGCAGCCAUGCCGCGUGUGUGAAGAAGGCCUUCGGGUUGUAAAGUACUUUCAGUCGGGAGGAAGGUGGUAAGGUUAAUAACCUUAUCAAUUGACGUUACCGACAGAAGAAGCACCGGCUAACUCCGUGCCAGCAGCCGCGGUAAUACGGAGGGUGCAAGCGUUAAUCGGAAUUACUGGGCGUAAAGCGCACGCAGGCGGUUGAUUGAGUCAGAUGUGAAAUCCCCGGGCUUAACCCGGGAAUUGCAUCUGAUACUGGUCAGCUAGAGUCUUGUAGAGGGGGGUAGAAUUCCAGGUGUAGCGGUGAAAUGCGUAGAGAUCUGGAGGAAUACCGGUGGCGAAGGCGGCCCCCUGGACGAAGACUGACGCUCAGGUGCGAAAGCGUGGGGAGCAAACAGG
rnacentral:rRNA from 1 species